rnacentral:rRNA from 1 species
GUGGGGAAUAUUGGACAAUGGGCGCAAGCCUGAUCCAGCCAUACCGCGUGGGUGAAGAAGGCCUUCGGGUUGUAAAGCCCUUUUGUUGGGAAAGAAAAGCAGUCGGCUAAUACCCGAUUGUUCUGACGGUACCCAAAGAAUAAGCACCGGCUAACUUCGUGCCAGCAGCCGCGGUAAUACGAAGGGUGCAAGCGUUACUCGGAAUUACUGGGCGUAAAGCGUGCGUAGGUGGUUUGUUAAGUCUGCUGUGAAAGCCCUGGGCUCAACCUGGGAAUUGCAGUGGAUACUGGCUGACUAGAAUGUGGCAGAGGGUAGCGGAAUUCCUGGUGUAGCAGUGAAAUGCGUAGAGAUCAGGAGGAACAUCCGUGGCGAAGGCGGCUACCUGGGCCAACAUUGACACUGAGGCACGAAAGCGUGGGGAGCAAACAGGAUUAGAAACCCGGGUAGUCC